CGGGGUGUAGCGCAGUCCGGUAGCGUAUCAGCAUGGGGUGCUGGUGGUCGCUGGUUCGAAUCCAGUCACCCCGACCA
rnacentral:tRNA from 3 species